AUUGAACGCUGGCGGCAGGCCUAACACAUGCAGGUCGAGCGGAUGAAGGGAGCUUGCUCCUGGAUUCAGCGGCGGACGGGUGAGUAAUGCCUAGGAAUCUGCCUGGUAGUGGGGGAUAACGUCCGGAAACGGGCGCUAAUACCGCAUACGUCCUGAGGGAGAAAGUGGGGGAUCGUCGGACCUCACGCUAUCAGAUGGGCCUAGGUCGGAUUAGCUAGUUGGUGGGGUAAAGGCCUACCAAGGCGACGAUCCGUAGCUGGUCUGAGAGGAUGAUCAGCCACACUGGGACUGAGACACGGCCCAGACUCCUACGGGAGGCAGCAGUGGGGAAUUGUGGACAAUGGGGGCAACCCUGAUCCAGCCAUGCCGCGUGCGGGAAGAAGGCCUUCGGGUUGUAAACCGCUUUUGUUCGGGAAGAAAUCCUCUGGGCUAAUACCCCGGGGGGAUGACGGUACCGGAAGAAUAAGCACCGGCUAACUACGUG
rnacentral:rRNA from 1 species